GAGGCGCCUGGGAGUUCCGAGAGGCUCAGUCUGGCCCUGGGGAGGGGGGAGUGGAGGUCUUGGAUCGGUCCCAGCCCGCGGCCCGGCCAUCUCUUCACGGCGGCUGGAGCCAAGAGGUGCCUUCCCUUAAGCAUAGGGGAGAGCCCUGAGAUCAGCUGAGGGGGACUGAGGAAAAAGGAGCUUCCACCAGGCACAGAACAAGUUUCAGAAGCAAAGAUCCCACUUACUUACCGAGCAAUCAUAACGCCAGAAACUCCCGUCUCCAAGGCACGGUUGGCGUCUUCAUAAGACAAAAUGUCCCCAUUUCCUGUAGUGGAGAAAACGCGGGACUAAGCACUGAGUGCCCUGAGACCCUCCGAUCAGAGGCCCUAAGCCUGCUCCUGCAGCCUGAGCACCGCAGCCCAGCUCCUGGGAGCCCGAGCACGGCAUGGGGCCCUGCCAAGGGUGCUGGAGCCAUCCACUUCGGGGCUGGCCAGGAAGCCGAGCAUGCCUCUGAAACCUUGAGCCCUUCUCCUUGAAUUAAAGAUGUUGUGGGGCUCUCUGCCUCCCGACGUGACCUUUGUUCAGAGGGAAAAUGCUCCUUGCUGCCCUCUGCCCUGAGCCGCCUGCUUCUCCUAGACAUGAAGUGUCUUCUGCAGGCUCAUGAGCUGCUUCUGCGGGGCAGCCUUCCAAGGCGGUAUAGAGGCUCUUAAUCUGGGGCAGGCUGAGGAAGAUGGAUGGGAAAAAUGAU